rnacentral:rRNA from 1 species
UACAGAGGGUGCGAGCGUUAAUCGGAAUUACUGGGCGUAAAGCGUGCGUAGACGGCUAUCUAAGUCGGGUGUGAAAGCCCUCAGCUCAACUGAGGAAGUGCGCCCGAAACUGCAGAGCUUGAGUGCCGGAGAGGGUGGCGGAAUUCCCCAAGUAGAGGUGAAAUUCGUAGAUAUGGGGAGGAACACCGGUGGCGAAGGCGGCCACCUGGACGGUAACUGACGCUGAGACGCGAAAGCGUGGGGAGCAAACAGG